AGAGUUUGAUCCUGGCUCAGGAUGAACGCUGGCGGUAUGCUUAACACAUGCAAGUCGAACGGGAUGCUUAGGCAUCUAGUGGCGGACGGGUGAGUAACGCGUGAGAAUCUGGCUCCAGGUCGGGGAUAACAGUUGGAAACGACUGCUAAUACCGGAUGUGCCGAGAGGUGAAAGAUUUAUUGCCUGGAGAUGAGCUCGCGUCUGAUUAGCUAGUUGGUGGUGUAGGGGACCACCAAGGCGUCGAUCAGUAGCUGGUCUGAGAGGAUGAUCAGCCACACUGGGACUGAGACACGGCCCAGACUCCUACGGGAGGCAGCAGUGGGGAAUUUUCCGCAAUGGGCGAAAGCCUGACGGAGCAAUACCGCGUGAGGGAGGAAGGCUCUUGGGUCGUAAACCUCUUUUCUCAAGGAAGAAGAAAGUGACGGUACUUGAGGAAUAAGCAUCGGCUAACUCCGUGCCAGCAGCCGCGGUAAUACGGAGGAUGCAAGCGUUAUCCGGAAUGAUUGGGCGUAAAGGGUCUGCAGGUGGAACUGAAAGUCUGCUGUUAAAGAGUUUGGCUUAACCAAAUAAAAGCGGUGGAAACUACAGAACUAGAGUGCGGUAGGGGCAAAAGGAAUUCCUGGUGUAGCGGUGAAAUGCGUAGAUAUCAGGAAGAACACCGGUGGCGAAAGCGUUUUGCUAGACCGUAACUGACACUGAGGGACGAAAGCUAGGGGAGCGAAUGGGAUUAGAUACCCCAGUAGUCCUAGCCGUAAACGAUGGAUACUAGGCGUGGCUUGUAUCGACCCGAGCCGUGCCGGAGCUAACGCGUUAAGUAUCCCGCCUGGGGAGUACGCACGCAAGUGUGAAACUCAAAGGAAUUGACGGGGGCCCGCACAAGCGGUGGAGUAUGUGGUUUAAUUCGAUGCAACGCGAAGAACCUUACCAAGACUUGACAUCCUGCGAAUCCUGGUGAAAGCUAGGAGUGCCUUAGGGAGCGCAGAGACAGGUGGUGCAUGGCUGUCGUCAGCUCGUGUCGUGAGAUGUUGGGUUAAGUCCCGCAACGAGCGCAACCCUCGUUUUUAGUUGCCAGCAUUAAGUUGGGCACUCUAGAGAGACUGCCGGUGACAAACCGGAGGAAGGUGAGGAUGACGUCAAGUCAGCAUGCCCCUUACGUCUUGGGCUACACACGUACUACAAUGCUACGGACAGAGGGCAGCGAGCCAGGGAUGGCAAGCGAAUCCAGAAACCGUAGCUCAGUUCAGAUCGAAGGCUGCAACUCGCCUUCGUGAAGGAGGAAUCGCUAGUAAUUGCAGGUCAGCAUACUGCAGUGAAUUCGUUCCCGGGCCUUGUACACACCGCCCGUCACACCAUGGAAGUUGGUCACGCCCGAAGUCAUUACCCCAACCGAAAGGAGGGGGAUGCCUAAGGUAGGACUGGUGACUGGGGUGAAGUCGUAACAAGGUAGCCGUACCGGAAGGUGUGGCUGGAUCACCUCCUUUUAGGGAGACCUACCCAUUGAAGAAUCGAAAGCCGAAGGCGAAUAGAGAAUCAAAUGGUCUACUCUAGGUCGGUCGAGAAUUGGUCAAGUCUCUUUCAAAGUAUUAUAUUUCCGGUGAUUCCCAGCAACUAGGAAAGACCUAGACUGCUGGUGAGAACCAGCCAGAACCUUGAAAACUGCAUAUAGAUAGAUAAGAGAGCCGAAAUCGAAAGAUAGAAGCAAGUGAAGAACCAAGUGGUCAAGCUAAUAAGGGCUCAUGGUAGAUACCU
rnacentral:rRNA from 1 species